rnacentral:rRNA from 1 species
UACGUAGGGUGCGAGCGUUGUCCGGAAUUAUUGGGCGUAAAGAGCUUGUAGGCGGUUUGUCGCGUCUGCCGUGAAAGUCCGGGGCUCAACUCCGGAUCUGCGGUGGGUACGGGCAGACUAGAGUGAUGUAGGGGAGACUGGAAUUCCUGGUGUAGCGGUGGAAUGCGCAGAUAUCAGGAGGAACACCAAUGGCGAAGGCAGAUCUCUGGGCCGUAACUGACGCUGAGGAGCGAAAGCAUGGGGAGCGAACAGG